AUGCCUGCACACAUACACAUGCACAGUGUUAUUAUUUUCUACUUGAUUUAUGCAGCAAUUGCUAGAAGACACAUGGUACUGCUUGGUUCCAGUGAAUUUUCCACACAACUGCUGUUGCAAUGCUUGGUGAUUUGCUUUAGCUUUUCUUUUUAUUUUUUUAGGAUUGAGAUCUCAGAGAUGAGAGAACAUAGAUCUGAAGCCCGGGGUCUCAUCUUUUCUUCCCUGUUCUCUCAGAGAGGGAUAGUGGGGGUGAAGCCCAGACCAGGGGGGAGGCCAGGAAGGGGUGAGAACUGGACUGGGGUGGGGGAGGGAAGGGGUGAAGCCCAGACCAGGGGGGAGGCCUCCCAGGGGGCAGCAUGCAGACCCCACCUACUCCUUCAUUUUCUGCCGUUGGCCCCAAACCCACUUCUGUCCUCUGAACCCAGACACUUGAAUUUUUUCAGAGGGAGAAGAAAGGCUGCUCACCUGGCUCUUGGUCCAGGCUCUGGCAUGUGCACCUCCCUCAGCAUCUGGAGCCCCCCAGCCCGGCAGGGGCUCCGGCAGGCAGCUGUCGGUGGCCGGAGCAGGGUCCACAGAUGUCAGCGAUCCAAGAUCUAAGGCACCCACCAGCCUCAGAAAACCAGAAAAAGGCCACGUGGAAGAAGCUCAUGGAACGCCAGCGCGCACCCUGUGUUCUGUUAGUAGACCAAUUCCUCCUUCCGGGUCUUUUCCAGUUCUGGAAUCCAGUCCUGGAUGCGGGAUGGGUCUCUUCUCCCAGGACAGCACCUGCACUUUUCAAAAUGGGCCUGCGGCCCGCACACACUCAGGGCCAGGGGCCCUCCCACCUGCUCCUCUGGCUUUCUGAGCGGGGCUCCCUCUGCCCCCACUGCCAGGGAAGCCGUGGGGCUCCGCACCCUGUGUCAUCUCAAGGUUCUAUCUUUUAGUAGAUGGAGCUUCAAGAAAAGCAAAUUGCUUCCAGCAGGGAGUGCAGCGCAGCAAACGCAAGCACCAGAUUUCAAUUUUCUAAUGGGCUGUGUAACCACAGGAUGACGUAAUCCUGCCCUGAAUAGUGAUUAAUUAAAGACUAAAAGAGCCUCUUUUCUGGUUAAACAAAAGGAGCCUGACAAGUAAGGCAGGAGGCUCCCGUGAGGGCCGGCGUGCAGAGGAUGCUCGUUGUCAGGUCCCGGUGGCGCUAGCGCUGUGGGACCGGCACUGGGAUGUGGGGCAAUUGCCACCUCGCUGCCCACAGAUGCUACUGGGGCCACAGCUCCUGAGCCUACGUGUGACCCAGAGAUGGAGGCAGAGGUGGUUCAGACAAAAGAACACAGAAGGCAUAGCCAGGAGCUUAGAGGGCUGAGACUGGAGGGUCCCGGGCCUCCUCAGGAGGAGAAGCGGAGGCAGCUGACCGCACCCCCUGGUGCUCACCUGGGAGCAGGGCUGCCCUUACACCCCUCGGCAUGGGAAGAAGGGGGAGCAUGGAGGAAACUAAGCCAGGACAGGCCGUGGGUGGCCCUGGAAGGCACCGUGGUGGUUGCCGGUGGAGUGCAACCACCCCUGCAGGAGCCUGCCUGUCUCUCCUGGUGGCCUCUGCCCGAGGCUCUAGGCUCCCCUGCCUGCUGAGGAAGUAGCACCCGGUGGGCCCGGCCACAUCCCCCUGACCCCGAAGCACCCAGAGCUCUCCCAGGCUUCCGGAAGACCCCAAGCACCUGCCUCCGGCCACCGACAGCUGCCUGCCGGAGCCCCUGCCGGGCUGGGAGGCUCCGGAUGCUGAGGGAGGUGCACAGGCCAAGGACAGGGGGACCUAGAGCUGCCUUCCAGAAAGCAGGGUGCCCUGCUCUGGCUUGCCCCGCUGCGGGAGCAGAACCAUCUGGGGAUCAGCAUCCAGGAAGGAUCUGGACCUGCUCUUCCGCUUCCUGGCUUGGUGAUCCCUGGCAGAUAUCAGAACCACCCCCUGCCUUGGUCUGCUCACCUGGAAAUUGGGGAUUAUUAACAGGACCACUAGAGUGACUCUCUAAAUAGGUAAGGAUCCAGCAGGAGCACCUGGGUCCCGUGAGCCAGUCUGUCAACAGCUGUCUCACCGCUGCCGCUUCCCCUGCCAUUCCUGCUGCUACCUGCCUCUCCUGGUGCAUUCCGGAGACGUCCUGCUGCCUACACCUAGCAAAUCAAAAAAAAAAAAAAAAAAAAAAAAAAAAAAAAAAAGAAAGAAUAAAAGGAGGGAGAAAGAAAGAAAGGAUGCA
rnacentral:lncRNA from 12 species